rnacentral:rRNA from 1 species
UUCCGGUUGAUCCUGCCGGAGGCCAUUGCUAUCGGAGUCCGAUUUAGCCAUGCUAGUCGAGCGAGGUUAGCCCUCGCGGCGAACAGCUCAGUAACACGUGGCCAAGCUACCCUGCAGAGGGGAACAGCGUCGGGAAACUGACGGGAAUCCCCCAUACCGGUCUCACGCUGGAAUGCCGAGACCGACAAACGCUCCGGCGCUGCAGGAUGCGGCUGCGGCCGAUUAGGUAGUCGGUGGGGUAACGGCCCACCGAGCCGAUAAUUGGUACGGGGUGUGAGAGCACGAGCCCGGAGACGGAAUCUGAGACAAGAUUCCGGGCCCUACGGGGCGCAGCAGGCGCGAAACCUUUACACUGCACGAACGUGCGAUAAGGGGACUCCGAGUGCGAGGGCAUACAGUCCUCGCUAUUGUGUACCGUAGGGUGGUACACGACCAAGAGCUGGGCAAGACCGGUGCCAGCCGCCGCGGUAAUACCGGCAGCUCGAGUGAUGGCCGAUUUUAUUGGGCCUAAAGCGUCCGUAGCUGGCCCUGCAAGUCCGUCGGGAAAUCCACUCGCCUAACGAGUGGGCGUCCGGCGGAAACUACAGGGCUUGGGACCGGAAGACUUGAGGGGUACGUCUGGGGUAGGAGUGAAAUCCUGUAAUCCUGGACGGACCGCCGAUAGCGAAAGCACCUCAAGACGACGGAUCCGACAGUGAGGGACGAAAGCUAGGGUCUCGAACCGGAUUAGAUACCCGGGUAGUCCUAGCUGUAAACGAUGUUCGCUAGAUGUGGCACAGGCUACGUGCCUGUGCUGUG